AGAGUUUGAUUAUGGCUCAGACGAACGCUGGCGGCAUGGAUUAGGCAUGCAAGUCGAACGAAGCAGCAAUGCUUAGUGGCGGAAGGGUGAGGAACGCGUGAGUAAUCUGCCCUCAAGUUGGGAAUAACAGCUGGAAACGGCUGCUAAUACCGAAUGUGGCUAUCGGGUCGCAUGAUCCGACAGUUAAAGAUUUAUUGCUUGAGGAUGAGCUCGCGUCCCAUUAGCUAGUUGGCGGGGCAACGGCCCACCAAGGCGAUGAUGGGUAGCUGGUCUGAGAGGAUGGUCAGCCACACUGGGACUGAGACACUGCCCAGACUCCUACGGGAGGCUGCAGUCGAGAAUCUUGGGCAAUGCGCGAAAGCGUUCGACCCAGCAAUGCCGCGUGCGUGAUGAAGGUCUUCGGAUUGUAAAGCGCCGUCAACCGGGACGAAAGAUGACGGUACCGGUGAAGGAAGCCACGGCUAACUACGUGCCAGCCGCCGC
rnacentral:rRNA from 1 species